UACGUAGGUGGCAAGCGUUGUCCGGAAUUACUGGGCGUAAAGGGCGCGUAGGCGGCCUUCUAAGUCGAACGUGAAAUCCCCGGGCUCAACCCGGGAACUGCGUCCGAUACUGGAAGGCUUGAAUCCGGGAGAGGGAUGCGGAAUUCCAGGUGUAGCGGUGAAAUGCGUAGAUAUCUGGAGGAACACCGGUGGCGAAGGCGGCAUCCUGGACCGGUAUUGACGCUGAGGCGCGAAAGCCAGGGGAGCAAACGGG
rnacentral:rRNA from 1 species